rnacentral:rRNA from 1 species
UGGGGAAUUUUGGACAAUGGGCGAAAGCCUGAUCCAGCAAUGCCGCGUGUGUGAAGAAGGCCUUCGGGUUGUAAAGCACUUUUGUCCGGAAAGAAAUCCUUGGCUCUAAUACAGUCGGGGGAUGACGGUACCGGAAGAAUAAGCACCGGCUAACUACGUGCCAGCAGCCGCGGUAAUACGUAGGGUGCAAGCGUUAAUCGGAAUUACUGGGCGUAAAGCGUGCGCAGGCGGUUUGCUAAGACCGAUGUGAAAUCCCCGGGCUCAACCUGGGAACUGCAUUGGUGACUGGCAGGCUAGAGUAUGGCAGAGGGGGGUAGAAUUCCACGUGUAGCAGUGAAAUGCGUAGAGAUGUGGAGGAAUACCGAUGGCGAAGGCAGCCCCCUGGGCCAAUACUGACGCUCAUGCACGAAAGCGUGGGGAGCAAACAGGAUUAGAUACCNUGGUAGUCCACGCCCUAAACGAUGUCAACUAGUUGUUGGGGAUUCAUUUCCUUAGUAACGUAGCUAACGCGUGAAGUUGACCGCCUGGGGAGUACGGUCGCAAGAUU